AGCGAACGCUGGCGGCAGGCUUAACACAUGCAAGUCGAGCGGGCCCUUCGGGGUCAGCGGCAGACGGGUGAGUAACACGUGGGAACGUACCCUUUGGUUCGGAAUAACGCUGGGAAACUAGCGCUAAUACCGGAUACGCCCUUUUGGGGAAAGGCUUGCUGCCGAAGGAUCGGCCCGCGUCUGAUUAGCUAGUUGGUGGGGUAAUGGCCUACCAAGGCGACGACCAGUAGCUGGUCUGAGAGGAUGAUCAGCCACACUGGGACUGAGACACGGCCCAGACUCCUACGGGAGGCAGCAGUGGGGAAUAUUGGACAAUGGGCGCAAGCCUGAUCCAGCCAUGCCGCGUGAGUGAUGAAGGCCUUAGGGUUGUAAAGCUCUUUUGUCCGGGACGAUAAUGACGGUACCGGAAGAAUAAGCCCCGGCUAACUUCGUG
rnacentral:rRNA from 1 species